AUCCAUGCUGUGCCCGUGUCAUGGCUGUGCCCUGUCCCUGUGCCACCUCUGUGCCAUGUCCCUGUCCUGUGUCUGUGCCACGUUCAUGCGCCAUGUUUGUGUCAUGUCUGUGCCACAGCUCCGUGCCAUGUCCCCGUGCUGUGUCCUUGGGCCAUGCUGGUGCUGUGCCUGUGCUGUCCCUGUGCCAUGUCCCAGUGCCACAUCUGUGCCAUGUCUGUGUCACGUCCUUGUGCCAUGUCCCUGUGCUGUGUAUGUGCUACAUCCAUGCUGUGUCCCCGUGCUAUGUCUGUGCUGUGUCCCCACGCCAUGUUUGUCCCUGUGCUGUGUCCCUGUGCCACAUUCACGCCACGUCCCUGUGCCAUGUCUAUGCUGUGUCCCCGUGCCAUGUCUGUGCCAUGUUCACACUGUGUCCCUGUGCCAUGUCUGUGCCACGUCCCUGUGCUGUGUUUGUGCCACGCUCAUGUGUCCCUGUGCCGUGUCUGUGUCACCUCCAUGCUGUAUCCCUGUCCUUUGUGCCGUGUGUGUGCCAUGUCCGUGUGCCAUGUCCGUGUGCCGUGUGUGUGCCAUGUGUGUCCUAUGUGUGUGCCAUGUGUGAACCAUGUGUGUGCCGUGUCCCUGUGCUGUGUGUGUGCCAUGUGUAUGCCACGUGUGUCCUAUGUGUGUGCCGUGUGUGUGCCAUGUUUGUGCUGUGUCCCUGUGCCGUGUGUGUGCCGUGUGUGUGCCAUGUUUGUGCCAUGCUUGUGCCAUGUCCCUGUACCGUGUGUGUGCUGUGUGUGUGCCAUGUGUGUCCUAUGUGUGUGCUGUGUGUGUGCCAUGUUUGUGCUGUGUCCCCGUGCCAUAUGUGUGCCAGGUCCCUGUACCGUGUGUGUGCCAUGUUUGUGCCGUGUUUGUGCCAUGUGUGUGCCGUGUCCCUGUGUUCUGUGUGUGCCAUGUGUGUGCCAUGUCCCUGUGCCACAUCUCCAUCCCCUCCCUGCACCACGGCCGCAGUGUCCCCGUGCCCUAUCCCACUGUCCCAUCGCCAGCUGCGUGCCCUGUGCCACAUCUGCGUGUGUCCCCCCACACCCCUCCCCAUUCCCCCUUCGGUGCACCGCAGUGGGGGCUCUGGGACACACCGGCGGGGCACUGACACCGGGAGCGCUGCAGAGCCGGGGGUGGGGGCUGUGUGGUCCUCGGUGCUGUGGGUCGGUCACGGCCGAGGGAGGGAGGAGUCGGGGCCCCCCCGGAGGCCAUAAAAGCAGGGAGGGCACAGCAGCCGGCGCGUCCCCUGUGCUGUCACCCCACUGCCUGGCACCGUGAGUAUGGGGACAGAUGGGGGGGCUGCUGGGGGCGGAGGGGUCCCCCUGGGGAUGGGGAUGGGGG
rnacentral:lncRNA from 1 species